UACGAAGGGGGCUAGCGUUGUUCGGAAUUACUGGGCGUAAAGCGCGCGCAGGCGGUUCUUCAAGUCAGAGGUGAAAGCCCAGGGCUCAACCCUGGAAUGGCCUUUGAGACUAGAGGACUUGGGUACGGGAGAGGUGAGUGGAAUUCCGAGUGUAGAGGUGAAAUUCGUAGAUAUUCGGAAGAACACCAGUGGCGAAGGCGGCUCACUGGCCCGUUACCGACGCUCAGGCGCGACAGCGGGGGGAGCAAACAGG
rnacentral:rRNA from 1 species